rnacentral:rRNA from 1 species
ACUGCUCAGUAACACGUAGCUAACCUGCCCUUAGAUCAGAAAUAACCUCGGGAAACUGAGGCUAACGUCUGAUAAGAGAUUUUAUUUGGAACAAUAUUUCUCUCAAAUUCGAGUCUAAGGAUGGGGCUGCGACUGAUUAGGUAGUUGUUGAGGUAAUGGCUCAACAAGCCGAUGAUCAGUAGGGGCUCUUAACGGAGUCGCCCCGAGAGGGAGUCUGAGACACUACUCCCAGCUCUACGGAGUGCAGCAGUCGCGAAUCUUUUGCAAUACACGAAAGUGUGACAAAGCGAGCCAAAGUGUUUUCCGCACAGGAAAACUUUUAUCAGCUGUAAACAGGCUGAUGAAUAAGGACUGGGCAAGACUGGUGCCAGCCGCCGCGGUAAUCCCAGCAGUCCAAGUUGCAGCCAACUUUAUUAGGUCUAAAACAUCCGUAGCUUGUCUAAUAAGUUCUUUGUGAAAUCUGGCAUCUUAAGUGUCAGUCGUGCAAAGAAUACUAUUGGGCUAGGGACUGGUAGAUGUAAAGAGUACACUUAAGGUAGUGGUAAAAUACGUUAAUCUUAGGUGGACUAACAAUUGGCGAAGGCACUUUACAAGGACAGAUCCGACAGUGAGGGAUGAAGGCUAGGGGCGCAAAACGGAUUAGAUACCCGUGUAGUCCUAGCAGUAAACACUGCUCACUAAACAUCGGUCUCUCUUCGGGAGAAAUCGGUGCUGCAGCGAAGGCGAAGAGUGAGCUACCUGGGAAGUAUAGUCGCAAGAUCGAAACUUAAAGGAAUUGGCGGGGGAGCA